rnacentral:rRNA from 1 species
GACGAACGCUGGCGGCGUGCUUAACACAUGCAAGUCGAACGGAAACACCUCUUUCGGGGGGUCCUCGAGUUGCGAACUGGUGAGUAACACGUGAGUAACCUGCCCUUUACUUUUUGAUAGCUUCAGAAGACGGGGGCUAAUACCGGAUACGGGCUCCUACUUCAGGGUGGGAGUUGGGAAGUUUCGGCGGUUGGGGAUUGGCUGGCGGCUUAUCAGCUUGUUGGUGUGGUAGUGGCUUACCAAGGCUUUGACGGGUAGCCGGCCUGAGAGUGUGACCGGCCACACUGGGACUGAGAGACGGCACAGACGCAGACGGGAGGAAGAAGUGGGGAAUCUUGCUCCAUGGGUGCAAGCUGGAUGCAGAAAGCCCGUGGGCGGGAUGACGGCUUUGGGGUUGUAAACAGCCUUCGCUCAUGAAGCAGGUUUGUGUGACGGUAGUGGGUAAAGAAGCACCGGCUAACUACGUG